GAUGAACGCUAGCUACAGGCUUAACACAUGCAAGUCGAAGGACUGGCGCACGGGUGAGUAACGCGUAUCCAAUCCUCCCAUAACUACGGGAUAACCCGUUGAAAGACGGCCUAAUACCGUAUGGUUAUGGAUGGGGAUGCGUGUGAUUAGCUUGUUGGCGGGGUAACGGCCCACCAAGGCGACGAUCAGUAGGGGUUCUGAGGGGCAGGUCCCCUGGUUUGGAAACGAGACACGGACCAAACUCCUACGAGGGGCAGCAGUAGGGGUUCUUAGUCAAUGGGCGAGAGCCGGAUCCAGCCAAGUAGCGUGCGGAAUGAUGGCCUAUGAGUGGUAAACUGCUUUUAUGUAGGGAUCGGUACCACAAGAAUAAGGACCGGCUGACUCCGUGCCAGCAGCCGCGGUAAUUC
rnacentral:rRNA from 1 species